rnacentral:rRNA from 1 species
CAUAACAACUUGGACCGCAUGGUCCGAGUUUGAAAGAUGGCUUCGGCUAUCACUUUUGGAUGGUCCCGCGGCGUAUUAGCUAGAUGGUGGGGUAACGGCUCACCAUGGCAAUGAUACGUAGCCGACCUGAGAGGGUAAUCGGCCACAUUGGGACUGAGACACGGCCCAAACUCCUACGGGAGGCAGCAGUAGGGAAUCUUCCACAAUGGACGAAAGUCUGAUGGAGCAACGCCGCGUGAGUGAAGAAGGGUUUCGGCUCGUAAAACUCUGUUGUUAAAGAAGAACAUAUCUGAGAGUAACUGUUCAGGUAUUGACGGUAUUUAACCAGAAAGCCACGGCUAACUACGUGCCAGCAGCCGCGGUAAUACGUAGGUGGCAAGCGUUGUCCGGAUUUAUUGGGCGUAAAGCGAGCGCAGGCGGUUUUUUAAGUCUGAUGUGAAAGCCUUCGGCUCAACCGAAGAAGUGCAUCGGAAACUGGGAAACUUGAGUGCAGAAGAGGACAGUGGAACUCCAUGUGUAGCGGUGAAAUGCGUAGAUAUAUGGAAGAACACCAGUGGCGAAGGCGGCUGUCUGGUCUGUAACUGACGCUGAGGCUCGAAAGUAUGGGUAGCAAACAGGAUUAGAUACCCUGGUAGUCCAUACCGUAAACGAUGAAUGCUAAGUGUUGGAGGGUUUCCGCCCUUCAGUGCUGCAGCUAACGCAUUAAGCAUUCCGCCGGGGGAGUACGGCCGCAAGGCUGAAACUCAAAGGAAUUGACGGGGGCCCGCACAAGCGGUGAAGCAUGUGGUUUAAUUCGAAGCUACGCGAAGAACCUUACCAGGUCUUGACAUACUAUGCAAAUCUAAGAAGAUUAGACGUUCCCUUCGGGGAAAUGGAAUACAGGGGGGGCAUGGUUGUCGUCAGCUCGGGCC